AAGUCAGACGUGAAAUCCCGGGGCUCAACCCCGGAACUGCAUUUGAAACUCCCUUUCUUGAGGAUAGGCGGAGAAAAUGGAAUUCCACAAGUAGCGGUGAAAUGCGUAGAUAUGUGGAAGAACACCCGUGGCGAAGGCGAUUUUCUAGCUUAUUCCUGACGCUGAGGCGCGAAAGCAAGGGGAGCGAACAGGAUUAGAUACCCUGGUAGUCCUUGCCGUAAACGAUGCAUACUUGGUGUAGCUGGACUCAACCCUAGCUGUGCCGGAGCUAACGUGUUAAGUAUGCCGCCUGGGGAGUACGCUCGCAAGGGUGAAACUCAAAAGAAUUGACGGGGACCCGCACAAGCAGUGGAGCAUGUGGUUUAAUUCGAUGCAACGCGAAGAACCUUACCCAGGCUUGACAUGCAGAGGACGCUUCCAGAGAUGGUAGUUCCCUUCGGGGCCUCUGUGCAGGUGCUGCAUGGCUGUCGUCAGCUCGUGCCGUGAGGUGUUGGGUUAAGUCCCGCAACGAGCGCAACCCUUAUCGCUAGUUGCCAGCACGUAAUGGUGGGAACUCUAGCGAGACUGCCUGGGUGAACCAGGAGGAAGGUGAGGAUGACGUCAAGUCCGCAUGGCCCUUAUGUCUGGGGCUACACACGUGCUACAAUGGUCGGUACAGAAGGCUGCCAAGCCGCAAGGCGGAGCAAAUCCUAGAAAACCGAUCCCAGUUCGGAUUGAGGUCUGCAACUCGACCUCAUGAAGUUGGAAU
rnacentral:rRNA from 1 species